rnacentral:rRNA from 1 species
CAGUCGCCGCGGGAAUACGAAGGGUGCAAGCGUUAAUCGGAAUUACUGGGCGUAAAGCGUGCGUAGGCGGUGAGUUAAGUCUGCUGUGAAAUCCCCGGGCUCAACCUGGGAAUGGCAGUGGAUACUGGCUCGCUAGAGUGUGUCAGAGGAUGGUGGAAUUCCCGGUGUAGCGGUGAAAUGCGUAGAGAUCGGGAGGAACAUCAGUGGCGAAGGCGGCCAUCUGGGACAACACUGACGCUGAGGCACGAAAGCGUGGGGAGCAAACAGGAUUAGAUACCCGGGUAGUCCCUGUCUCUUAUAA